AAGUCGUAACAAGGUUUCCGUAGGUGAACCUGCGGAAGGAUCAUUAACACGUAUCCACGUAUCAACCAAAAAGGUCAUAGAUUUUCUCCUACCCUGAAUUGUGCUAUUUUAAAGAAGCAUGGGAUUAACUGCUACACGGGGCUUGGCGGGGCUGUAAAAGCCUACCUGGUAGCAUCAUACAAACAUGCGAAUUUCACAGCAGGUUUCGUCCUUACUACAUUUCUGUCCGACCGAAGUGUUGUAGUCUGGCACCCACCUAUACACCAAUACUCACCCCUUUUUUUGCUAGUUGACUUUUAUCUGUUGUUCUUUUAUCCUUCGGGUGAGGAGCACACGUUUAAUUAUUUGAACGUUAAAAAUACAACUCUUAGCAAUGGAUAUCUUGGUUCUC
rnacentral:misc_RNA from 1 species